GAGACGAUGAAGAUGGUGGCGCUCAUCAUGGUCUGCAGGUGAUAGAUGGAUCUACCAACAAGACGGAUGCGUACCUGCAUGUAAUCUCCUCAUCUCGAUCGACCUCGCCGGUUAUUGAGGCCGACAAGGAUGGAUGGAUGUGGCAGCACUAGCAAGCGCCAUCCAUCCAUGGACGACCGAGAUGGCCGCCGGCCGGAUAUAUUGCGCUGCGGCGCGCGUAUCAGCAGCCACCACCAACAUAAUCUUCGAUCCGCUGCUCGCGUCACAUCCGUAGUCGUCGCUUUUAAUAUUUUCUUCCAGAUCACCGGCCGGUCACUCGUGCUGGCCUGCUGCCCUUUUCCAUUUUCCAUACACAGCUACAUUCA
rnacentral:lncRNA from 7 species